UUAAUUUCUAUGAUCCGGAAAAGUAGCGGAGGACUAUUAUUUCAAGAGAGCCGGGGUAAGGUGGAAGCCUGGCACUGGUAGUACCGUGAAAAGAGCCGGGGAGAUUCCGGUCAAAAAAGCUCCCGCUUCCAGUAAACCGGACGUAUACCUGCGAUAAAGGCUUGAGAGGGCUGUUGGCCAGAGUGCACUGCACCGGACAAUUUGCCAAUUAGAGUGGUAGCGCGGUAACCCCGUCUCUUUG
rnacentral:ncRNA from 1 species